CAGUCGAGCGGACAGAUGGGAGCUUGCUCCCUGAUGUUAGCGGCGGACGGGUGAGUAACACGUGGGUAACCUGCCUGUAAGACUGGGAUAACUCCGGGAAACCGGGGCUAAUACCGGAUGGUUGUUUGAACCGCAUGGUUCAGACAUAAAAGGUGGCUUCGGCUACCACUUACAGAUGGACCCGCGGCGCAUUAGCUAGUUGGUGAGGUAACGGCUCACCAAGGCAACGAUGCGUAGCCGACCUGAGAGGGUGAUCGGCCACACUGGGACUGAGACACGGCCCAGACUCCUACGGGAGGCAGCAGUAGGGAAUCUUCCGCAAUGGACGAAAGUCUGACGGAGCAACGCCGCGUGAGUGAUGAAGGUUUUCGGAUCGUAAAGCUCUGUUGUUAGGGAAGAACAAGUGCCGUUCAAAUAGGGCGGCACCUUGACGGUACCUAACCAGAAAGCCACGGCUAACUACGUGCCAGCAGCCGCGGUAAUACGUAGGUGGCAAGCGUUGUCCGGAAUUAUUGGGCGUAAAGGGCUCGCAGGCGGUUUCUUAAGUCUGAUGUGAAAGCCCCCGGCUCAACCGGGGAGGGUCAUUGGAAACUGGGGAACUUGAGUGCAGAAGAGGAGAGUGGAAUUCCACGUGUAGCGGUGAAAUGCGUAGAGAUGUGGAGGAACACCAGUGGCGAAGGCGACUCUCUGGUCUGUAACUGACGCUGAGGAGCGAAAAGCGUGGGGAGCGAACAGGAUUAAAUACCCUGGUAGUCCACCCCGUAAACGAUGAGUGCUAAGUGUUAGGGGGUUUCCGCCCC
rnacentral:rRNA from 1 species